rnacentral:lncRNA from 1 species
AUAUUGCUAUACAAUAAUACCUUUAAUUGGAAAUAAUUUAUUGUUUCCAUUUUUAACAUUGGUGUUGUUUUGUACAUUUAUCAUGCUUAUAACAUGUAUAAGGCGUAUAUAUACUAAUAUAUAAGUACGUCUUUUUUUAUUUCUUUAAUUUUGAAAUAAACAAGAAACUCCCUCCUAGUCUUACUUCCGACACUUCCCUUUUGGUGUAACACCACUAAUUGGGGCCCAGUACCAGAAAGUAGUACAUAUUUAACUCAAAAUAGG